rnacentral:rRNA from 1 species
GCAAGUCGAGCGGUAACAGAAAUUAGCAUGCUACAGAUGACGACCGGCGCACGGGUGCGUAACGCGUAUAGAACCUACCUUUUACAGGGGAAUAGCCCAGAGAAAUUUGGAUUAAUGCCCCAUGGUAUUAUUGAAUGGCAUCGUUUAAUAAUUAAACAUUUAUGGGUAAAAGAUGGCUAUGCGUUCUAUUAGCUAGAUGGUAAGGUAACGGCUUACCAUGGCAACGAUAGAUAGGGGUCCUGAGAGGGAGACC